UGGAAAAACAGUGAAAAAACGAUGAUAACAAAAUUUACUAAUGCAAAAUCGGACAUCAAUCGGUGUUGUUGCCAUGGCGCACCUUCCCAUCCUGUGUUGCUAAUAAAUUAUUGGCAUAACGCCACCCUCCAAAUUCGAGAUGAAAUCUAUGCGAAAGCCAAGAAGACUCCCCUCCUUUGAGUCAAAUAACUUUAAUACUGACAAUUUCUUUUUCAUUAGGUGCAAAGAAUUCGUCGCAUUUUUGUAAACCGAACAAUUAUAAAUUAUUAUUAAGUGAGUAAUUGAGCGAGUUACCAAGAUUACCCAGCAUCAGAGCGGGUCACUAACCGAUGCAUCGACGGCAGCGGCACAAAACCUCACUCAAUGCAAGGCAUCAACCAAAUAAGGAGUUUAUAUGUAGGAAUUGCGUAAUACUUACAUAAUACAUCAUUUUUUGAUCCAGAUGGUUGAGGAGACCCAAUUUUAUAGCGAUUUUUUGGCCACCCAGAAGGUCUACAAGGAUAUAUAUAUAGACGAACGUCUCCUCGCAGAUGGCGCAUUUCCGAACGUGAUUCCGAACUUGGAUCUUGGGCCAAAAAUGACACCUGCACAGCGCAUGCAACGUUUUGCUAAUGCUCCAUCGGUUAGCAAUUCCGGCAUCCAGAGUUUUCAACAUCAUCCUCCAAUUUCUUGCGCCGUUUCCUUGAACAGGUGUCACUUCCGCCUCUUCGAAGUUUCUAGAUAAUGUGUCAGCGACAACACUAUAGUCCCCUCCCGUAACGGAUUGAGAAAAAGAACACCUACAGCUUAAAUGAUCAUAAUCUACAGGUUUGCAUCUCUACGAAGGGCAAUUUGGCUGCCAGGCAAUCCUUGUCCAUCACCGAAAAAAUUAUAUUGGCCUCUCUUGCUACUGUUCAUCCAGCUGGAACACCACGGCUCCUACUUCGAAGUGAAAUGCAUAACACUGGAUGAAAAAGAGCCUUUUGAAAUCGGCCAACACGGAGUGUGAAUCAGUCAACGGAACUGAAAUGUCUUUGUAGCUCUUUAUAAAGCGACGAUACACACCGCUGUGCUCGGGCUUCGUACGUUCCGGAUCAUCUCCACUCUGCCCUUAUCCAUUCGCAAUGCCCCGCCGUUUAUAAUGAGCCUCACAUAAUUUAUGUUGCGAAAACAGAAAUUGGAUUUCGGAAUGUCUAUGCGAUUGCGGACUUUAAGCAUUUGGCCACCAUUUUAAGAUACUUCAGAUGCGUCUUAAAAUCUUCCGAAAUGAUCAACAAAUAAUCCAAGUACAAGAAUACGUUGGGCCCUAAAGUUGCCGGGAUCAUCUUGUCCAUGAUCCUCCAUAAUUUCCGGGCAGUGUCGCAGAGCUUUAAUGGCAUGUGGCGAAAAUGAUAGAGUGGCCUUUCUGGCUUAUAUACCGUGCGUUCUUCCGGGCAUCUAUCUAUAUUUCCUAGGCCUCAUCACACUGUCGUCCAGUUAUUCUGCAGCAUCCUGUCCAGCUCGGCCCACACGGUGUCUUGCUUUGCCGGUGACAAUGGAAAAUGCCUGUCCUUCACGGGAUCGGUUUUUUAGAUCAGAUGUUUCCGUUGUAUCCGCAACAGGUGGGUCUUUUUAAAAUUGGUGAGAUCAGCGCUGAUCGUCUCCCUAAUCGAACACCUCUGGAGCGUUCGCGAAAAAUCGCCAGAAAUAGAUACCCAGGUAGAACAACGCGGCCGCAAAUUGAUCGACUGGCAGACGCCGCUGCCCUACCCAUCGACGGCUACGCUGCCCAUUCAAGUUCCCAACUAACUAUCCUCGGCCUAGCAGACUGACAGAGGCUCCCGUGUCUAACAUAUUUUUUCUGCGACUUCCUUCUUCUCCUCCCAUCUCAGAGCAUUUGCAGACGCACUUCUUCAUCACUCAACGGUUCGCCAGCGUAAUUUCAUUCAGGGGCCGCUCACCAAAAUUACUAUUUUGUGCCGGCAUGUAUCACAAUCACGUCCGUUAUAUGGAAAGCCCCUUAAGACUUUUCCUUUAGUAAUAUUCUUAAUUGCACCCAGCUGUCUACCCUUGAAUUUUAAUGAUUUUGUGUAUUUAUAAGCCUUUGGCAACUAAUUAAUUAUCACUGCUUGUGUGCAGCGAAAUUCAAAGAAUUAUAUUUUUGUUAAGAAUGUAUUUAUUUGCCGCACAGGACACUUAUUAGAAAUUACGAAUUAUUAUAUUGUUGCUUGGCAGCCAAUUCGAAACAGUUGUGCCUCGGUUGUUGAAAUUAAGCUCCGCUCAGAACGAUAGGCCGAGAGAGUGGGCAGCAGCUUACAAGAGCGCGCAAACAUUAUUUGUUCUUAGGCUCUACUGAUCACUUGACCAAACAUAUUUAAUCGAUGGUCAUAUCUAUGGAUAAACAACUAUCAAGCUAACAAGCCAAAAAUCGAUUUUUACGAUAUUCACAUAUAAAUGUUGUAAAACCUUUUUAAAACUGUUUAGAUUUACGAAAUAAAGGUAUAUCCAACUUCUAUACUAUCCAUCGAUGGGAAGUCAAAUUUAUGUUAAUGUUUCUAAGCCACAACGCCCACAAAUUGAAGUACACGUGGUUCUUUCUCUUGUCAACAUGUUUUUGUUUUUAUUAAACCUUAUUGGUUUUUUGUAAUUUAUUUUUUUCAAUACAUCAAAUUAUUCACUAAGCUUAUGGUUGCUUUGUCUUCCUAUGUUAAUGCUUUACUUAUUUUGUGUUGCUUCGUUUUGAUUUAUAGAUAAUGUAACUACAUGUUUAGAUUAACUGUGUGUGUAUAUAACAUUUAAUAUGUACGUACAUAAGUAUAUAUAAAUACUUUAAAAUCUAGAUAUGUGUAUGUUAUUAGUAUUGACCUCUACUAUAUAUGCCUACUUACAGUAAAAGAGCUACUAAAAAUAAACGGAACAAUUAACCAA